GACGAACGCUGGCGGCGUGCUUAACACAUGCAAGUCGAACGGAAAGGCCCUGCUUUUGUGGGGUGCUCGAGUGGCGAACGGGUGAGUAACACGUGAGUAACCUGCACUUGACUUUGGGGUAACUUCAGGAAACUGGGGCUAAUACCGGAUAGGAGCUCCUGCUGCAUGGUGGGGGUUGGAGAGUUUCGGCGGUUGGGGAUGGACUCGCGGCUUAUCAGCUUGUUGGUGGGGUAGUGGCUUACCAAGGCUUUGACGGGUAGCCGGCAUGGGAAGGGGACCGGCCACAAUGGGACUGAGAUACGGACCAGACUCCUACGGGCGGCAACAGUGGGGAAUAUUGCACAAUGGGCGGAAGCCUGAUGCAGCAACGCCGCGUGCGGGAUGACCGCCUUCGGGUUGUAAACCGCUUUCGCCUGUGCCGAAGCGUGAGUGACGGUAACGGGUAAAGAAGCAACGGCUAACUACGUG
rnacentral:rRNA from 1 species